rnacentral:piRNA from 5 species
UGAGAGGUGUAGAAUAAGUGGGAGGCCC